AAGAUCUUCUGCAACACAUAGAUUAAAACUGGAACUACUAUAUACAGAGAAGAUUAGCAUGGCCUCUGUGCCAGGAUGACAUGCAAAUUUGUGAAGCAUUCUAUAUUUUU